rnacentral:rRNA from 1 species
AGGAGAUGGAACUAACAAGGAUUUCCUUAGUAACGGCGAGCGAACCGGAAGUUGCCCAGCUUGGAAAUCAGGACAUUCCGUGCCCUGAAUUGUAGUCUGGAGAAGCGUCCUCUGCAGCGGACCGGGCCUAGGUUCCUUGGAAUGGGACGCCGGAGAGGGUGAGAGCCCCGUCCGGCCCGGACCCUGCUGUUCCACGAGGUGCUGUCGACGAGUCGGGCUGUUUGGGAAUGCAGCCUUAAGCGGGUGGUAAAUCUCAUCCAAGGCUAAAUAUUGGCGAGAGACCGAUAGUGAACAAGUACCGCGAGGGAAAGAUGAAAAGGACUUUGAAAAGAGAGUUAAAAAGUGCUUGAAAUUGCUGGGAGGGAAGCGAAUGGAUGCCUUGCGUGCCUCCCGGUUGUGUGCGGAACGGUGUGAGCUGGUCCGCGGAUCAACGCGGGGGGUCGGCCAGCGUCGGUGGGGGUGGUGGGAUAAGUGUCGGGCACUUGUGGUCCGGCCGAUGCCGCUGCCCCCUCCGGGGCUCGAGUGGUGCGCCACAUCUGUGGCGGGCUGAAGCACCUGCGCUGCUCGGACGCUGGCAUCUCGGGCCUUCCAUCCGACCCGUCUUGAAACACGGACCAAGGAGUCUAACAUGUAUGCGAGCCGGUGGGUGCCAAACCCGGUGAGGCRAAAGGAAACUGAUUCGWGGGAUCCCCUUUGGGGUGCACCAUGGACCGACCGUGAUCUUCUGUGAAAGGUUUGAGUGUGAGCAUACCUGCU